rnacentral:lncRNA from 1 species
CAAGUGGCUUGCCUGUUGCUUCCUCGAAUUCUAAGAUUACUAACCGGCCCUCCAUAGGCUUCUUUGGGCCUCGUACUCUCCGGCUGCUCCCCGUGGUUGUCAUCGAGCCAGAGGGCUAUGUAGAAAGAAAAAAGACAAUUUAAUACAAGAUAUUAUUUCGAAUUAUAUCUGUAAAAACAAAGGAGACUGCCAUAUUACAGACCUGCUGGCCAGCAUUGUCUUGCUCAUUCGGGUCGACCAAAUACUGAGAGCAGUCAUCGAUUCCCUCAGGGUUUUCAUCGCCUUCGCGAUCAUCGUGAUAAACUUCUUCAGUGGGACCGCAGAUCAGGUUCAUCAUUUCCUCUUCGUGUUCUCUCGGAUCGGCCAUUUCUGCAGAAAUAUGUGACACAUGACUACUAGCACUACUGUGUAUACCUAACAAGGAAACAAUAUAUGAAACUAGGGUUUAGGGUUUAGGGCUUAGGGCUUAGAUUUAGGGUUUAGAGUAUAUCAUUUGCUAACAAUUAAAUAUAUCAUAAUUGUACCAUUAACUUAUACCACUAAUUGUACCACUAAUUAUAGCACUAAUUGUACCACUAAUAGUAAGUGAACAUUACUAAAUACACCAUAGAACAUCACUAAAUAAAUUAUAGAACAUCACAUCGCAUAUAUAUUGUGUGAACAUCACUAAAUACAUCACAGAACACUAUAUGUAUACUAUGUGAACAUCGCUAAAAUAUGUUAUAGAACAUCAAAUAUAUAUUACGUGAAAAAAACUAAAUACACCAUAGAACAUCACUAAUUACAUUAAAGAACAUUGUAUAUAUAUUACGUGAAAAUAAAUAAGAAAUUGGUACUAUAAUAUACAUGAAAAUAAAUAAAUAUAUAUGAAUUUGAGCAGAGGCAAUAUUCUAGAUUCAUAAGAAAUUGGUACUAUGAUAUAUAUGAAAAUAAAUAAAUAUAUAAUGUAAUACAAAUAAUAACUACAGCAAAGCAUAAGAAAAAAAUAAAAACAUAUAACAAAGAAAAACAUGUAACAAAGAAAAUAAAUAAAUUGGCGAUGAGCCCUCAACCAGCGGAGCCAGGAAUUUUAGGGAGUCUGGGUGUGACACAACUCCAUACUAAUACUAGUUAAGAUUAAUUUUACUAUAGAAACUACAUAAUUUCUAUGUUCAUUAAUUAGGAUAUCAACUAAGUAAAAAGAUGACAUGAUACUGCAAUUGAAAGAAAGAAUGAAAUGGUUUCUUACUAGAC